CGACUCGACAUUUGCAUAGAUGAAGAACAAAGUAUCCCAUUAUAUAUGCAUUGCAAAAUCUAAUGGAAAUUCACAAUACUAAAAAUGUUUUCUGCUAGCUCAUUCCCAAAUAGUUAACACAUCAACUGAAAAGUUAUAAGCAAACAAUUAUGAUGUAUAUAAAGAAAAUUUUCUGGAAAGCCUGGUUCUCAAGGAGCCUCAGUUCUCUAGGCCGAAAUAUUGUUUCAGAAUUUCUUUUGAGGUUUUUGCAAAUCCCUCAGACACUGCUUUCAUAUCCUCAAGUUUAUGUUUUUAUCUGAUCCACUUUACUCUCAGUAAGCUGGAGCAAGACAUCUGGGUCAGCAACGUAAGCCAUGUGGCGUUCGAUCUGAGACUUUUCCUUGCCGAGUUGCUGAUACAGGUUUUGAAUGCAAUUUUUUUGAUUCUGCAACCUCUCUUUUGCUAUCUUGAAUUCCAGCUCCUGAGAUUUUUUCAGAGCUUGCAGUGUCUGUUCAGCACUAUAUCAAGUUUUAAAGACUCCACCUCAGGAUCAAAAUUUGUAGAUACUUCCUUUGGAGAACCUUGUCUGAUAUCUACAUGCUCCUCGUCUAUUGCAGAUUUAACUGCAUCAUUUCCAUUAUGACACAUCACUCCUGUUACAGAAUAGAUCAACAAAUGUUAAGUUUAAAAAGCAAACCAUCAAGGCAACAAGUCAUUUUGACAUGACUGUAUAUAGAAAUAUAGCAACAGCACAGGGUAUAGAGAAAAGCACCUUGUUUACCUGUUGAUCUAUCAUCCACAUUCCAAACGUCGUCAAGUGUAGGUUCAAUUCUGAGCCUUGAAUCAUAUUGCUGAGUAAGAAAUCAGAAUACAAUAUUUAUAUCUUCAAGAACAGAAACCACCAUUUUUUCGGUAAAAAACAACCUAUACCUUUCCCAUAGCUAUUUCAAAUAUAUGCAGCAACCUCUUUGCGGCACUUCUCUGGAACCAUGCAAAACACAAACCCCCAGAUUGAGAAUUUUCUUGAUGUCAUCAUGAGAACUAAUGGAUUCACGUAUUGUUGAAAUAUAGCAUAAUAUCCAUUUGGGGCCUUCCUCUAACACCUUAAAGUUUGAAAUGGACUAACCUUAAGGUUUUAGAUGAAUUAGUUCUCAACACAUAUUUGUAAAAAUUUCUUGACAUGUGGAAGCAGAUCACUUCUUGUGUCGCAGCACCGACAAUAGUACUCAGGCAUCAAGAGCUCCUGUUGUCCCAGCCAUGUUGGAUUUCAGACCACAUUCUAAUUUCUAGAUGGAAAAUGCUUCAUUUGCAAAAAAAUUCAUAAUAUGACAUAUGUUAAGUUUUAAUUGAAAUGAGCUCUCUGUAUUCACAUAAAUAGAACUAAUUAAAACACCCCACCUCAAUUGCCUCAAUUGUCAUGUCAUUCUGAGCAAAAUUUAUUAAAUCCAAGCUUUUCAUAUGCAGAAUUAUCAGUCUUGCUAUUCCCUCCGUUUCAAAAUAUAGGUCGCUUACCUUUAUGGCACACACUUUUAAGUCUUUUGAUCGCAUAUCCAAAAUCAUUAUUACUAAAAUUUUCAUUUUUUUAAUUAUAAUAUUAAUCAUAUAUUUUUAUUCGGAAAAAAAUAAUUUAACGAUAAUGAUUUUAAUUAUACGGUCAAAGGACUUAGAAGUGCGUGUCAAAAAGUAAAACAAAUUUAUGUUUUAAAAGAGAGGGAGAGUAUAGUAUGUAGCAGGAAUCACGACAGCAUUGCGGUUCACUGCAGCAAAUGCCACAGAAAAUAAUUGCAGGAGGCUCUCCUGGUUCAGUUACGCUGCAACAUAGCUUGUUUCCAGCCUUGCAACCGCUAGUUGCCUGCUUCUGUUCUAAUUUGCGAAGUACAAUCUGAAAAAAAUACUACUAAAUUUGCAUUGAUGAAGAAAGUAUCCCAUGAUAUAUGCAUUGCAAAAUCUAAUGGAGAUGCACAAUACUAAAAAUGUUUUGCUAGCUCAUUUCAAAAUAGUUAACACAUCUACUGAAAAAGAUUUAAGCAAACAAUUAUGUAUAUAAAGAAAAUUUCAGGAAAACCUGGUUCUCAAAGAGCCUCAAAUCUGUAGGCCCAAGAUAUUGUGUCAAGAUUUCUUUUGAAGUUUUUGCAAAUCCCUCGAACACUGCUUUCAUAUCCUCGACCUCGAGUUUAUGUAAUUCCUUUUUUAUCUGAUCCACUUUACUCUCAAUAAGCUGGAGCCCGGGUCAGCAACAUAAGCCAAGUGGUGUUCAAUUUCAGACUUUUCCUUGCCGAAUUGCUGAUACAGAUUCUGGAUGCAAUUAUUUUGAUCAUGCAACCUCUCUUUUGCUAUCUUGAAUUCCAGCUCCUGAGACUUUUUGAGGGCUUGCAGUGUCUGUUCAACUUUAUAUUCAAGUUUCAAGGACUCCACCUCAGGAUCAAUAUCUGUAGAUACUUUCUUUGGAGAACCUUGUCUGAUAUCUACAUGCUCCUCGUCUAUUGCAGAUUUAACUGCAUGAUUUCCAUUAUGACACACCAUCACUCCUGUUACAGAGCAAAAAAUGUUAAGUUAAAUUAUCAAACCUUCAACGCAAGAUUAAAAAUGUUAAGUACACCUGUUUCUACGUCGAUGUUUAUUUUAUAUAUAAUCAAGGUGGUGCCAUGUCAUCUACCCGUAAAGAAUUCAGAGAGAGCUGGUUGGUUAGGUACCUACCAAAUUGGAAUGAAUUUAUGCUCCCUGUUUCCCAAGUUGGAGGCCACUUAUUAAAUAGAAAGAAUUAAAGUUUAUACACAUAUAAAUCAAAAAGGCAUUUAAUAAUGUUGACAUGACUGUAUAUAGAAAUAUAGCAACAGCAUAGGGUAUAGAGAAAAGCAUCUUGUUUACCUGUUGAUUUGUCAUUAACAUUCCAGCCAUUGUCAAGUACAGGCACAAUUUCGAGUCUUGAAUCAUAUUGCUGAGUAAGAAAUCAGAAUACAGUAGUUAUAUCGUCAAUAACAGAAACCACCAAUUUUUCGGUAAAAUAUAACCUAUACCUUUCCCAUGGCUAUUUCAAAUACAAGCAGCAACCUCUCUGCGGCACUUCUCUGCGAACCUUGCAAAACAUAAACCCCCAGAUUGAGAAUUUUCUUGAUGUCAUCAUGAGAGCUAAUGGAUUCACAUAUUUGUAAGAAUAUCUUGACAUGUGGAAGCAGAUCAGUUCUUGUGUCACAGCACCGACAAUAAUACUCAGCUCCUAUGGUCCCAGCCAUGUUUGAUUUCAGACCACAUUCUAAUAUCUAGAAGAGUCACAUGCAGGGGCGGAUCUAGUAAGAGACACGGAGAGACACGUGUCCCCUUAAAUAAAUUUUGACAAUUUUUCAUUGUUCUAAUUUUGACAAAAUUAUAGACUUACCUCCAAAAAAUUUUAAAAUAUAUAAGUGUUUUCCAAAAAUUGUUUGGUGCCCUCCUCCGAGGAAAUUACUCCUAGAUCCGCCCUAGCCACAUGUCCACGAUUAAUUCUAUUUUCUACUACACUGGAUUCACAUUUAAUAAAGUCAUGUUUUCAAAAGCAGGAUUAACAGUCUUGCUAUAUAGUACGCAGCAGCAAUCACUGACAGAAUCCCGGUUAACUGCAGCAAAUGCCACAGAAAAUAUUUGCAGGAGGCUUUCCUGGUUCAGUUAAGCUGCUACAUAGCAUGUCUCCAGCCUUGCAACGGCUAGGUUCUUGCUUCGGUUCAGGAGGCUAUUCAGAAACAGUCAUCCAGAAACGGUUCAAGUUUCUAUAGAUCCAAGCGCUACAUCCACUAAGCGAUUACUCUUUCUAAUAACCGAAGAAAGAUUUUUAAGGUCACUUUGGAUUAUGAACUAGAUUUUAAUCAUUUCAGGUCAUAGUUGCAGAAAUAAGAAAUUAGAACUAAUCGAAUUGAAAUGUGAUUGGAGAUUUAUUGAAUAAAUUGAGGAUAUUUAGUUAAACGGGAAUGUAAUCGAUAAAUUAGUAGAUAUAUUUAUUGCGAGAAAGAUUUGGAUGAUCCAGAUGCUAAUUUCUGAAUGAAUGAUGUUUUUGUUAAUAAUUUACUAAUCUAUCAUCUUAAAUAUACUAAAUUACAUGAAAUUAUAUUUUGAUUGAAUGACAUUGAAAAACAAGAUAUACUUAUAUACAGAGGACAUCUAUUAGCAAUAUCAAGUUUAGUUGACCAAGUAAAUCAAUCAAAACAAAAAAACACAUAUAGAGUACAGAUAAUACACAAAGAAAACAAGAACAUCUUAAUCUGUACCAGGUAGAAUAAAAAUGACGUGCGAAGAGAGCAAACAAAAAAAUCCAAAAACCAGAAGAUGUAAUCAAGUAAGCCCAAAUACAAUGUAAUCGAAUAAUCUUAAGGAGGCAUGUCGUAGACGAGCCCAUAAAAUCUCAUGUUCAGCUAUUAACAAACGAGCCCUUAAGCAAACAAUUAUGAUGUAUAUAAGAAAAAUUUGCAGAUGAAGAACAAAGUAUCCCAUUAUAUAUGCAUUGCAAAAUCUAAUAGAAAUACACAAUACUAUAAAUGUUUUCUGCUAACUCAUUCCCAAAUAGUUAACACAUCAACUGAAAAGUUAUAAGCAAACAAUUAUGAUGUAUAUAAGAAAAAUUUUCAGGAAAGCCUGGUUCUCAAGGAGCCUCAGUUCUCUAGGCCGAAAUAUUGUUUCAGAAUUUCUUUUGAGGUUUUUGCAAAUCCCUCAGACACUGCUUUCAUAUCCUCGAGUUUAUGUAAUUCCUUGUUUAUUUGAUCCACUUUACUCUCAGUAAGCUGGAGCAAGACAUCUGGGUCAGCAACGUAAGCCAUGUGGCGUUCGAUCUGAGACUUUUC
rnacentral:lncRNA from 1 species